rnacentral:rRNA from 1 species
GACGAACGCUGGCGGCAGGCCUAACACAUGCAAGUCGAGCGGAUGUAGCAAUACAUCAGCGGCGCACGGGUGAGUAACGCGUGGGAACCUGCCCUUUGGUACGGAACAACCCUGGGAAACUAGGGCUAAUACCGAAUACGCCUCGAGAGAGGGAAAGAUUUAUCGCCGAAGGAGGGGCCCGCGUCCGAUUAGCUAGUUGGUGGGGUAAAGGCCUACCAAGGCUACGAUCGGUAGCCGGUCUGAGAGGACGAUCGGCCACACUGGGACUGAGACACGGCCCAGACUCCUACGGGAGGCAGCAGUGGGGAAUAUUGGACAAUGGGCGCAAGCCUGAUCCAGCCAUGCCGCGUGAGUGAAGAAGGCCUCGGUUGUAAGUAC